rnacentral:rRNA from 1 species
CGGGACACGUGGUAUCCUGUCUGAAUAUGGGGGGACCAUCCUCCAAGGCUAAAUACUCCUGACUGACCGAUAGUGAACCAGUACCGUGAGGGAAAGGCGAAAAGAACCCCGGCGAGGGGAGUGAAAAAGAACCUGAAACCGUGUACGUACAAGCAGUGGGAGCACGCUUAGGCGUGUGACUGCGUACCUUUUGUAUAAUGGGUCAGCGACUUAUAUUCUGUAGCAAGGUUAACCGAAUAGGGGAGCCGAAGGGAAACCGAGUCUUAACUGGGCGUUAAGUUGCAGGGUAUAGACCCGAAACCCGGUGAUCUAGCCAUGGGCAGGUUGAAGGUUGGGUAACACUAACUGGAGGACCGAACCGACUAAUGUUGAAAAAUUAGCGGAUGACUUGUGGCUGGGGGUGAAAGGCCAAUCAAACCGGGAGAUAGCUGGUUCUCCCCGAAAGCUAUUUAGGUAGCGCCUCGUGAAUUCAUCUCCGGGGGUAGAGCACUGUUUCGGCAAGGGGGUCAUCCCGACUUACCAACCCGAUGCAAACUGCGAAUACCGGAGAAUGUUAUCACGGGAGACACACGGCGGGUGCUAACGUCCGUCGUGAAGAGGGAAACAACCCAGACCGCCAGCUAAGGUCCCAAAGUCAUGGUUAAGUGGGAAACGAUGUGGGAAGGCCCAGACAGCCAGGAUGUUGGCUUAGAAGCAGCCAUCAUUUAAAGAAAGCGUAAUAGCUCACUGGUCGAGUCGGCCUGCGCGGAAGAUGUAACGGGGCUAAACCAUGCACCGAAGCUGCGGCAGCGACGCUGAUGCGUUGUUGGGUAGGGGAGCGUUCUGUAAGCCUGUGAAGGUGUGCUGUGAGGCAUGCUGGAGGUAUCAGAAGUGCGAAUGCUGACAUAAGUAACGAUAAAGCGGGUGAAAAGCCCGCUCGCCGGAAGACCAAGGGUUCCUGUCCAACGUUAAUCGGGGCAGGGUGAGUCGACCCCUAAGGCGAGGCCGAAAGGCGUAGUCGAUGGGAAACAGGUUAAUAUUCCUGUACUUGGUGUUACUGCGAAGGGGGGACGGAGAAGGCUAUGUUGGCCGGGCGACGGUUGUCCCGGUUUAAGCGUGUAGGCUGGUUUUCCAGGCAAAUCCGGAAAAUCAAGGCUGAGGCGUGAUGACGAGGCACUACGGUGCUGAAGCAACAAAUGCCCUGCUUCCAGGAAAAGCCUCUAAGCAUCAGGUAACAUCAAAUCGUACCCCAAACCGACACAGGUGGUCAGGUAGAGAAUACCAAGGCGCUUGAGAGAACUCGGGUGAAGGAACUAGGCAAAAUGGUGCCGUAACUUCGGGAGAAGGCACGCUGAUAUGUAGGUGAAGCGACUUGCUCGUGGAGCUGAAAUCAGUCGAAGAUACCAGCUGGCUGCAACUGUUUAUUAAAAACACAGCACUGUGCAAACACGAAAGUGGACGUAUACGGUGUGACGCCUGCCCGGUGCCGGAAGGUUAAUUGAUGGGGUCAGCGCAA